GCUGUAGCUCAGUGGUAGAGCAUCUGCUUGCUAUGCAAAAGAGUUCCAGGUUCAGUCCCCGGCAUCUCCA